CGGGUGAGUACACGUAGAGUAUCUGCCUUAAGGUGGGGGAUAACAGAGGGGAGCUGGUGCUAAUACCCCAUAUGUGCCAGACUGAGAUGUCUGGUAUGAAAGCUCCGGCGCCUUAAGAUGAGCCUGCGGCUGAUUAGCUUGUUGGUGGGGUAAUGGCCUACCAAAGCAACGAUCAGUAGCUGGUCUGAGAGGAUGAUCAGCCACAAUGGAACUGAGAGACGGUCCAUACUCCUACGGGAGGCAGCAGUAGGGAAUUUUGCGCAAUGAGCGAAAGCCUGACGCAGCAACACCGCGUGUGGGAUGAAGCUUUUCGGAGUGUAAACCACUGUCAGAGGGGACGAAACCUGACGGUACCCUCAGAGGAAGCAUCGGAUAACUACGUGCCAGCAGCCGAGGGAAGACGUAGGAUGCAAGCGUUGUCCGGAAUUAUUGAGCGUAAAGCGUUCGUAGGCAGGCUGUCACGUCUGAUGUUAAAGCCCGGAGCUCAACUCCGGUACGGCAUUGGAUACUGG
rnacentral:rRNA from 1 species